UACGAAGGGGGCUAGCGUUGUUCGGAAUUACUGGGCGUAAAGCGCACGUAGGCGGACAUUUAAGUCAGGGGUGAAAUCCCGGGGCUCAACCCCGGAACUGCCUUUGAUACUGGGUGUCUUGAGUCCGGAGGAGGUGAGUGGAAUUGCGAGUGUAGAGGUGAAAUUCGUAGAUAUUCGCAAGAACACCAGUGGCGAAGGCGGCUCACUGGCCCGAUACUGACGCUGAGGUGCGAAAGCGUGGGGAGCAAACAGG
rnacentral:rRNA from 1 species